UACACAUGACUGUAUUAAGAGUGGUGUAUUAAGGUGAAGAAAACUCUUUGUAAAUGUCCUAGAGAAAUAUAGUAGCUUUCUGUUCACACUUUGCAAGUAAAAAGGGUGGAUCGUUCCACUAUUGACAUAU
rnacentral:snoRNA from 1 species